CUUACUCCUACGGGAGGCAGCAGUGGGGAAUAUUGCACAAUGGGCGCAAGCCUGAUGCAGCCAUGCCGCGUGUAUGAAGAAGGCCUUCGGGUUGUAAAGUACUUUCAGCGGGGAGGAAGGUGUUGUGGUUAAUAACCGCAGCAAUUGACGUUACCCGCAGAAGAAGCACCGGCUAACUCCGUGCCAGCAGCCGCGGUAAUACGGAGGGUGCAAGCGUUAAUCGGAAUUACUGGGCGUAAAGCGCACGCAGGCGGUCUGUCAAGUCGGAUGUGAAAUCCCCGGGCUCAACCUGGGAACUGCAUUCGAAACUGGCAGGCUAGAGUCUUGUAGAGGGGGGUAGAAUUCCAGGUGUAGCGGUGAAAUGCGUAGAGAUCUGGAGGAAUACCGGUGGCGAAGGCGGCCCCCUGGACAAAGACUGACGCUCAGUGCGAAGCUGAACGCU
rnacentral:rRNA from 1 species